UGAGUGAAAAGGAUUUAUGUGUAUACUGUUUGGUUGGGUGGGAUUUGGUUGCCUGUGUGUGUAAGAGUGUGACUGAGAUGGAACCUAGUUCUGAAGCGAGUGUGGAGGUCUUCUAACCGCGGUUCCAAUCUCCCGCGAGGGACUUGGCCGGU